AGAGUUUGAUCCUGGCUCAGAUUGAACGCUGGCGGCAUGCUUUACACAUGCAAGUCGAACGGUAACAGGUCUUCGGAUGCUGACGAGUGGCGAACGGGUGAGUAAUACAUCGGAACGUGCCUAGUAGUGGGGGAUAACUACUCGAAAGAGUAGCUAAUACCGCAUGAGAUCUAAGGAUGAAAGCAGGGGAUCGCAAGACCUUGUGCUACUAGAGCUGCUGAUGGCAGAUUAGGUAGUUGGUGGGAUAAAAGCUUACCAAGCCGGCGAUCUGUAGCUGGUCUGAGAGGACGACCAGCCACACUGGAACUGAGACACGGUCCAGACUCCUACGGGAGGCAGCAGUGGGGAAUUUUGGACAAUGGGCGAAAGCCUGAUCCAGCAAUGCCGCGUGUAGGAUGAAGGCCCUCGGGUUGUAAACUACUUUUGUACGGAACGAAAAGACUCUUUCUAAUAAAGAGGGUCCAUGACGGUACCGUAAGAAUAAGCACCGGCUAACUACGUGCCAGCAGCCGCGGUAAUACGUAGGGUGCAAGCGUUAAUCGGAAUUACUGGGCGUAAAGCGUGCGCAGGCGGUUAUGUAAGACAGAGGUGAAAUCCCCGGGCUCAACCUGGGAACUGCCUUUGUGACUGCAUAGCUAGAGUACGGUAGAGGGGGAUGGAAUUCCGCGUGUAGCAGUGAAAUGCGUAGAUAUGCGGAGGAACACCGAUGGCGAAGGCAAUCCCCUGGACCUGUACUGACGCUCAUGCACGAAAGCGUGGGGAGCAAACAGGAUUAGAUACCCUGGUAGUCCACGCCCUAAACGAUGUCAACUGGUUGUUGGGAAUUAACUUUCUCAGUAACGAAGCUAACGCGUGAAGUUGACCGCCUGGGGAGUACGGCCG
rnacentral:rRNA from 1 species